GACGAACGCUGGCGGCGUGCUUAACACAUGCAAGUCGAACGGAAAGGCCCUGCUUUUGUGGGGUGCUCGAGUGGCGAACGGGUGAGUAACACGUGAGUAACCUGCCCUUGACUUUGGGAUAACUUCAGGAAACUGGGGCUAAUACCGGAUAGGAGCUCCUGCUGCAUGGUGGGGGUUGGAAAGUUUCGGCGGUUGGGGAUGGACUCGCGGCUUAUCAGCUUGUUGGUGGGGUAGUGGCUUACCAAGGCUUUGACGGGUAGCCGGCCUGAGAGGGUGACCGGCCACAUUGGGACUGAGAGACGGCCCAGACUCCUACGGGAGGCAGCAGUGGGGAAGAUUGCACGAUGGGCGGAAGCCUGAUGCAGCAACGCCGCGUGCGGGAUGAAGGCCUUCGGGUUGUAAACCGCUUUCGCCUGUGACGAAGCGUGAGUGACGGUAAUGGGUAAAGAAGCACCGGCUAACUACGUG
rnacentral:rRNA from 1 species